GUAGUCUCGCACAGAUGCAUAUCAAUAAGCGGAGGAAAAGAAACUAACAAGGAUUCCCUCAGUAACGGCGAGUGAAGCGGGAAGAGCUCAAAUUUGAAAUCUUGAAAGGUCACCUUUCACGAAUUGUAGUUUAAAGAAGUGUUUUCUGUUACGAUCGUAAUAUAAGUUCUUUGGAAUAGGACAUCACAGAGGGUGAGAAUCCCGUCUAUGAUUGCGAUUUGUAGCUUUGUGAUACACUUUCAAAGAGUCGGGUUGUUUGGGAAUGCAGCCCAAAACGGGAGGUAAAUUUCUUCUAAGGCUAAAUAUUGGCGAGAGACCGAUAGCGAACAAGUACCGUGAGGGAAAGAUGAAAAGAACUUUGAAAAGAGAGUUAAAUAGUACGUGAAAUUGUCAAAAGGGAAGCGUUAACACCAGUGUUGUUUUCUGAAGAUCAACCUCUGUUAGCUUUAUGCAUGUUUGUUUAGACCUAAUCAGCUAUCUUGCAUGUUCUAUUGUUUGCAGUGGUGCACUUUUCAGUUUACAGGUCAACAUCAGUUUUUUUUACCGUAAAAAAGUUAAAGAAAGGUAGCUCAUGGCUCCGGUCGUGAGUGUUAUAGUCUUUUUCCUAUGCGGUAGGAGAGACUGAGGUCUGCAGUGUAGGCUAUUUGGCUAGAUACUCAGGUGCUAUGUGAUACCAUUUCAUAAACAACUUGUUGAUUAUGUUUUGCCUAUUGCAUACUCGCUUGUACUAUCAUACCUACGCUUAGGAUGUUGAGUCGUAGAGCACGCAG
rnacentral:rRNA from 1 species